UACGGAGGGGGCUAGCGUUGUUCGGAAUUACUGGGCGUAAAGCGCACGUAGGCGGCUUUGUAAGUUAGAGGUGAAAGCCCAGGGCUCAACCUUGGAAUUGCCUUUAAGACUGCAUCGCUUGAACACGGGAGAGGUGAGUGGAAUUCCGAGUGUAGAGGUGAAAUUCGUAGAUAUUCGGAAGAACACCAGUGGCGAAGGCGACUCACUGGACAUGUAUUGACGCUGAGGUGCGAAAGCGUGGGGAGCAAACAGG
rnacentral:rRNA from 1 species